UACGUAGGGGGCAAGCGUUGUCCGGAUUUAUUGGGCGUAAAGAGCGUGUAGGCGGCCGCACAGGUCCGUUGUGAAAACUGGAGGCUCAACCUUCAGACGUCGAUGGAAACCGUGCGGCUAGAGUCCGGAAGAGGAGAGUGGAAUUCCUGGUGUAGCGGUGAAAUGCGCAGAUAUCAGGAAGAACACCCGUGGCGAAGGCGGCUCUCUGGGCAUUAACUGACGCUGAGGAGCGAAAGCAUGGGGAGCGAACAGG
rnacentral:rRNA from 1 species